AGAGUUUGAUCCUGGCUCAGGACGAACGAGGCGGCGUGCUUAACACAUGCAAGUCGAACGAAGAGCGAUGGGAGCUUGCUCCUAUCAAUCUUAGUGGCGAACGGGCGAGUAACGCGUAAUCAACCUGCCCUUCAAUGGGGGACAACAGUUGGAAACGACUGCUAAUACCGCAUACGAUCGUAAUUCGGCAUCGAGAUACGAUGAAAGGUGGCCUCUAUUUAUAAGCUAUCGUUGAAGGAGGGGAUUGCGUCUGAUUAGCUAGUUGGAGGGGUAACGGCCCACCAAGGCAAUGAUCAGUAGCCGGUCUGAGAGGAUGAACGGCCACAUUGGGACUGAGACACGGCCCAAACUCCUACGGGAGGCAGCAGUGGGGAAUCUUCCGCAAUGGACGAAAGUCUGACGGAGCAACGCCGCGUGAGUGAUGAAGGUCUUCGGAUUGUAAAGCUCUGUUAAUCGGGACGAAAGAGCCUAGUGUGAAUAAUGCUAGGAAGUGACGGUACCGGAAUAGAAAGCCACGGCUAACUACGUGCCAGCAGCCGCGGUAAUACGUAGGUGGCAAGCGUUGUCCGGAAUUAUUGGGCGUAAAGCGCGCGCAGGCGGAUCUGCCAGUCUGUCUUAAAAGUUCGGGGCUUAACCCCGUGAUGGGAUGGAAACUACAGAUCUAGAGUAUCGGAGAGGAAAGUGGAAUUCCUAGUGUAGCGGUGAAAUGCGUAGAUAUUAGGAAGAACACCAGUGGCGAAGGCGACUUUCUGGACGAAAACUGACGCUGAGGCGCGAAAGCCAGGGGAGCGAACGGGAUUAGAUACCCCGGUAGUCCUGGCCGUAAACGAUGGGUACUAGGUGUAGGAGGUAUCGACCCCUUCUGUGCCGCAGUUAACGCAAUAAGUACCCCGCCUGGGGAGUACGACCGCAAGGUUGAAACCAAAGGAAUUGACGG
rnacentral:rRNA from 1 species